rnacentral:ncRNA from 2 species
AAUUCUGACUCGGGGUGCCCGCCACUAAAAGUGGUUUGGCUGAGAUUUUACCCGUAUUACCUGAUCUGGAUUAUGCCAGCGUAGGGAAGUCUCGGCACCGCAGG